ACACGCUUCAUUUCAAACGGCAGGUUCCUUCACAUACAUGAUAUAUCUUCAUACUCUACACCUGCACGGAUCAAGACAAGCUCAUGACUUCCGCCCCCUGAAAUAUUCAUAAUCCAUUAAAAGACCCUGCAACGUAUUUGAGAAAAUGAAGAUUGUCCUGUUUCUGGUUAUGAUCCUGGCAUUAACGCAAGGGAGGACUAUGCCUACCCCUGACUUCAACCAGGCAGAGGCAGAAGCGCCAUCAGACGUGCCAGUGAGCGACCCAGCCAUCAGUGACAUCACACCUGCAGCAGAUGACAUCACACUUUCAUCAAAAUCAACCGACUUGGGAGGCAAGUAAAAAAUA